AUGGUUUAAUCUAGAAACAAAUGGGAAAAAUUGUAGAAUACAAACUGUUUAUACAGUGUGAUCCCAAUUUGAAGGGAAAGAAGCUGAAUAGAAACACUGAAAGCAUUCUGGUUGCCUAGUACUUUAUUAUAGUGUCUUAGACCCUCCUAGAAACCCUACAGGAUUGCUAUUGUUAUUGUCUGGAUUUUACAGUCUCAGGGGUUCUGUGUAACAAAUAUGACAGAUUUACAGCCUGGUUCUAACAAACCCUGGCAUCGGCACCCUGGAAGGUGGGGGGCCCAGCCACAGAAGAAGGUAAGCUGACAUCCUAGAUUCCAGCCUUCACUCCUUGCCCUCAAGGGCCCUUUGGGUGGUGACCAAGCAGAGAGUCCUCACCUCUAGAACCGGUCCCUGGGCGCCUCAAACUUCAGGACACUGCCAAGUUAAAUCGUGACCCCUGAUUCCCCUCUCCUCUCUCUCUGCUUGGCUUUCAGAGCAGUGUGGAAGGCAGUGUCCCCUUUCUGACUGGCAGGAGUGGGCACAGGAACGCAGGUUUCAUGGUCUCUGUGCAUCUUGAGAGGGUGCUUUUUGCUAUUGCUUAGCACAGGUACCAUGGAAUGUUAUAUCCUGCCACAGAGCCUUAGACAGAACUCCAGGGCACAUGCAUUUGAAAGGGCCAUGAAAAAAUGGCAAGGCUGGAUCUAAAUCCAGGUCUGCCUGGUUCCCUAAUCAAAACCACAAGGAGAUGCCAGUUCACACUCAGUAGGAUGGCUGCAAUCAUAAAGACAGACGGUAAUAAGUAUUGAUGAGGAUGUGGAAAAAUUGGAACCCUCAGACAUUGCUGGUGGGGAUGUAAAAUGGUACAGCCACUUUGAAAAUAGCCUGGCAGUUUCUCAAGUGGUUAAACAUAGAGUUACCAUAUGAUCCAGCAAUUCCAACUUUUAGGUAUAUACUCAAGGGAAAUAAAAACAUAUGUCCACACAGAAACUUGCACAUGAAUGAUCAAAGCAGCAUUUGUAAUAUCCCAAAAGUAGAAACAAGCCAAAUGUCCAUCAACCGAUGAAUGGAUAAAUAAAAUAUGUUGUAUCCAUGCAAUGGAAUAUUAAUUGGCAAGUAAAAAAGAACUGACACAUGCUACAACAUGGAUGAACCUUGAAAACGAUUAUGCUAAAUAGAAAAGACAGUCACAAAGGAACCACAUAUGAGUCCAUUUAUACGAGAUGUCCAAAGUAGACAAAUUCAGAGACAUUUAUAAGCUAUGUAAGAAAUGUGCCAUAUUAAUGGGUAGAAAGAAUCAACACAAUAAAAAUGUGAGUUGUCACAAAAUUCAAAACAACUAUGAUCCUAAUCUCAUUUGUUUUUUAAGGGAACUUAACAAAUCAAUUCUAAGACUUAAGCAGAAGAACACUCUUGAAGAAGAAGAUGGAAAACUUUGCUUUUGGUAGCAAGACUUAUGAAGCUAUGGGUUUCUUAAUCAAAACAUGGUAUGCUCUACUCAUAAAGGAAAAGAUUGUUUGAUCACAUUAAUGUUAAGAACUUCGAUUCAUUAAAGGACACCAUGAAGAAAGAGUGGAGUCAAGCCAUGAUCUAGGAUAUGGUAACUACAUACAUAUAACUGGCAAAAGAUUAACAUCUGGAAUAUAGAAAAAACUUCUGUUUAUCAGUAAGAAAAAGACAACCCAAUAGAAGCAUGUGCAAAAACUUGAACAGGCAUUUCACAUAAGAGGAAACAAAUGAAGCUGGAAAAUGAAAAUACUUCCCAGCUAGCAAUGGCCACAUAACAUAGUCCUUGUCAACAACCACUAGCAGAGAUCUCCUGGAGCCCAGAGGAGAGCCUGGCACAUGCGGUGCCCAACAGCAACAGAGGAUGAGAGGAUGCUGACGAAGGAGACACACACCCUGGCAAGCUUAGAACACAACCGAAAUGGCUGUACCAGCUUCUCUUCCCAUCUGUGAGCAUCUCUUCAACAACGAGUUCCUAAUUCACUGUGAUCUUUAAAAACUGCCACAUGACUUCAGGAUUUUGCUGUGAGCAGAAUCCUGGAGCCUCUAACCACGAGGAUCUAAAGAAGUCUGGCUGGGGAGCGGAGUGAGGACACCAACUCUUGGAACACACGGAAUGCUGUGCUGUGAUGGAAGUUUCCUAAAGUGCUCCAGGAGACCAGAGGAAGGGUAAAGUAACAGUAUCUGGAACCAGGAGGAAGGUUUUGUGGAGGAAGAGAAACAGCAGCAAAAGCAAGAGGCACAGGAGGCGGGGAGGCAAGUUCUUGCAGAAGAUGGUCACCCAAGCCUGCUCCCUCCUCUGAGCGUGAAGUCAGGGGAGGCCAAGAGCAGCAGAACUCUUUUGGAAUGCACCAGGGGCCCGAAAUAAACUCAGGAUACUAUUGGUAUUUGGAGAUUGCCAUGAACUAUAAAUAGAGAGUAGAAAAGAUAUUCAGAAUAUUUUCUGAAUGAGGAUGAAAUUCAUAAAUGUUCCCAGCAUGGAGACAUGUUCCAUUAGAGCUGGGGCAGGGUAGGAUCCAUCAAAUGAUGGCUUUCCUUUCACAGGGAGGCUAAUAAGAGAGCCCAGGCGGGCUUGCUCAGAGCUUAGUGCUCUGCAGUCACACGGCCGCAUGUGAACAGGGACUACACUGAGGACAGAAGCUGCUCUGGAAUGUCAGUCACUCCGUGGAGUUCACUGGCUUCUCAACAGCCUACAAAUAUUUGACAACGCUUCAUUAGGACUUCUACUCUUUGUAUAAGAAAAUCCAAAGAAAACAAUUUUGAGGGUUUUCUACAUUUUCCAGAAAAAGAAAUCUUUGGGUGAAAGAAGCAGGUGAGGUUUCUGACUGUACUUUUUCUAUGGCCUCAGUUUCUUGAUCCACGCGAGGGGGAGGUGGGGCCAGUGGAGCACAGUGUUCCUUCCUGCUGAAACAUUUUCUUAGUCGGAGCCUUAUGCAGACCAGCAGCUGUUUGCAAUUACUCAGCCAGGCAGUCAGAGGAUGUUCUCUCCCCACCAUGUUUCUGCAUCUGCCAAGCUGAAUUCUUUUUUGGGCAACAUCUGUUCUUAUUUCCCAUGUGAUGUUGUCUCAGUUGACCACAAAAAUAAUUACAUACUUAUUCUGAAGUAAUCAGUUCGUUGAAAUCCUUUUCAACAAGAUAGCAGAUUUCACUGGGAAAAGUGACAUCUCAGGAACAGAGUUCCUCUAAGGGACCACGGAUUGCAGAACAGACCAGUGCCCUUGUCUUCAGGGGUGGCGGGGAGAGGCAGAGAUGACUGCCAUUUCGGAGUCGUGUUAGACCUAAAAUAUCAGCCUCUUUCCCCUCCCUUGGAGCUGAACUGUGGGAGGGCUGCUCACAGACUGUGAGCCAACUCUUAUAUAAAGUUCAUGGUAAUGCAGGCAAAGGAGCAGAGGACUUUAUUACAGCCAAGAGUAACACAAUUACAUCCAUUCUAUUUCCUUUGGUAUCUACCUAAAAGGCAUAAAUGAAGCCAGUAGUUAAAAAAAAAAAAA